rnacentral:rRNA from 1 species
UACAGAGGGUGCGAGCGUUGUUCGGAAUUACUGGGCGUAAAGCGCGCGCAGGCGGCGGUGUUGGCCCGGCGUGAAAGCCCCCGGCUCAACCGGGGAGAGUCGUCGGGGACCGCACCGCUUGAGGGCGGUAGGGGCUGGUGGAAUGCCUGGUGUAGUGGUGAAAUGCGUAGAGAUCAGGCAGAACACCUGGGGCGAAGGCGGCCAGCUGGGCCGUCCCUGACGCUGAGGCGCGAAGGCGUGGGGAGCGAACAGG